rnacentral:lncRNA from 1 species
GCUAUACAUAAAACUAAAGCUAAGAAUUCCUUUAAUAUCUAUUUAGCGGAUAUAGGUGAUGACAAUAUAUUUUUGAAUAUUGAUGUGUAUCAAGAGGAUGAUAUUGCAAACCCAUUUGUAGUUCAGGCUAAUGAAGAACUUGACACGCCUAUUUGUAAGUUGAUUUCUCUCAAUUUGAAAUACUAGAUGAUGACGAGAUACGUAAGUUACAAUAAAGACUAGAAGAAGUGGUAGU